rnacentral:rRNA from 1 species
AGUGAACGCUGGCGGUAGGCCUAACACAUGCAAGUCGAACGGCAGCACAGUAAGAGCUUGCUCUUACGGGUGGCGAGUGGCGGACGGGUGAGGAAUACAUCGGAAUCUACUUUUUCGUGGGGGAUAACGUAGGGAAACUUACGCUAAUACCUCAUACGACCUACGGGUGAAAGCAGGGGAUCUUCGGACCUUUCGCGAUUGAAUGAGCCGAUGUCGGAUUAGCUAGUUGGCGGGGUAAAGGCCCACCAAGGCGACGAUCCGUAGCUGGUCUGAGAGGAUGAUCAGCCACACUGGAACUGAGACACGGUCCAGACUCCUACGGGAGGCAGCAGUGGGGAAUAUUGGACAAUGGGCGCAAGCCUGAUCCAGCAAUACCGCGUGGGUGAAGAAGGCCUUCGGGUUGUAAAGCCCUUUUGUUGGGAAAGAAAAGCAGCAGGUUAAAACCCCGCUGUUCUGACGGUACCCAAAGAAUAAGCAACGGCUAACUUCGUG